rnacentral:rRNA from 1 species
GAUAGAUAAUUUUACUAGCAUUAAUGCAUUGAACCCCAUAAGAGCAUACUCGACAGUUAAGAGCACUUGGGCUAGAGUAAUACUAUGAUGGGUGACCUCCCAGGAAGUCCUAAUGUUGCACUCU